rnacentral:lncRNA from 1 species
CUAAAAUGCAUAUCUCCCAGUUUUUAAGUAUUCAGUCUGCCCUGUAUAAUAGGAGCUGUUUGUUAUCAAAAGGUACUUUCCUUGUUAGUCAAACUUCAUCCCAAGGUUAAAGCACACCUGAACACAGUGGGCUAAACUAACUCAUUGUGUAAAGUAAGAGGGAGUGCUCCUUGAAAUGUAUUUCUUGCUUAAAAGCUGCACGUUGUGUGCCACCUCAAGGCUUGUUGUUCUCUUCCUUAGCUUGGAUACCACUCACACAUUAUUCUUUCUGAUGCAGAAUGUCUGUUUCGUAACAUCUUUCCAUGAAAAGCUAGAACAUCAGUGCUUGCUCCUGGAAAAGCUCACUCUUUAUGUACUGCUACCUGUGAAAAAUGACAGGGUAUGAUCUUCAGAUCUCUACUUUGCUGUGCUGAAGAGAUGGAUUUGUUUAGUGCAGCAGAAAAUGGCAGGUGCAUCACAACUACUGCAUGCAACCCUUUGAUUGGCUGAUCCCAGCCAACAGCCAAACAGCCACCCUCAUCCACCCUGCUUCUUGCUCCUCCCCUGUGCAAUGGGGAGAAAAUAGAAAGAAGCUGAAAAGACUUAUUGAUUGAGAUAAUGACAAAUGAAUAAGGGAACU